UACAGCUAUCUUUCUCCCAAAUACAUACUUUUUCUUGGCCUAGGAUUUAGAAGUCGACAAUCAAUCUCUUUUAAGAAAAAGAGGUUGACAAUCAAGAAAGUAUUGCAAGGUGUGGUACCUUCAGAGCUGAGUCAAGUUUUCCUGCCAAAGCCAGAAGCAGACUUGUUUUCCCGGAGCCAGGAGGGCCAAGCAGCAAAGACAUUCUGCCCGGUCUUAUGAUUCCACUGAUAUCGUGAAGGAUAGAGAUAGGAAGUAGGAAGCAUCAAGGUGCCUUUCUGCAGAUGAGAUGCAUACCAUGACUUUGUUGGAGAAGAAGUUGGUCAUCGUCGGGACACCUCGGUUGCCGACGUAGGCCUCGGCGUCGAUGUUCAGUCCAAGGACAACUGAAGCAAAGCAAGAGUAGUGGGCGAGUGCUCACCGCUCCAUGCGGUCGCGGAGCUUGAGCAGGAAGCGCUCGUUGUCCUCCUCGGCGGUGCGCACGAGGCGCUCGAUGA